AAAUUGAAGAGUUUGAUCAUGGCUCAGAUUGAACGCUGGCGGCAGGCCUAACACAUGCAAGUCGAACGGUAACAGGAAGCAGCUUGCUGCUUCGCUGACGAGUGGCGGACGGGUGAGUAAUGUCUGGGAAACUGCCUGAUGGAGGGGGAUAACUACUGGAAACGGUGGCUAAUACCGCAUAACGUCGCAAGACCAAAGAGGGGGACCUUCGGGCCUCUUGCCAUCAGAUGUGCCCAGAUGGGAUUAGCUUGUUGGUGGGGUAACGGCCCACCAAGGCGACGAUCCCUAGCUGGUCUGAGAGGAUG
rnacentral:rRNA from 2 species